UACGUAGGUGGCAAGCGUUGUCCGGAUUUACUGGGCGUAAAGAGCGCGCAGGCGGUCGUCGCAAGUCGCGUGUGAAAGCCCCCGGCUCAACUGGGGAGGGUCACGCGAUACUGCUCGACUUGAAGGCAGGAGAGGGAAGUGGAAUUCCCGGUGUAGUGGUGAAAUGCGUAGAUAUCGGGAGGAACACCAGUGGCGAAGGCGGCUUCCUGGACCGACACUGACGCUGAGGCGCGAAAGCGUGGGGAGCGAACAGG
rnacentral:rRNA from 1 species